rnacentral:rRNA from 1 species
GAUGAACGCUGACAGAAUGCUUAACACAUGCAAGUCCACUUGAACUUCGGUUUGGGUGGCGGACGGGUGAGUAACGCGUAAAGAACUUGCCUCACAGUUAGGGACAACAUUUGGAAACGAAUGCUAAUACCUGAUAUUAUGAUUUUAGGGCAUCCUAGAAUUAUGACAGCUAUAUGCGCUGUGAGAGAGCUUUGCGUCCCAUUAGCUAGUUGGAGAGGUAACGGCUCACCAAGGCGAUGAUGGGUAGCCGGCCUGAGAGGGUGAACGGCCACAAGGGGACUGAGACACGGCCCUUACUCCUACGGGAGGCAGCAGUGGGGAAUAUUGGACAAUGGACCAAGAGUCUGAUCCAGCAAUUCUGUGUGCACGAUGAAGUUUUUCGGAAUGUAAAGUGCUUUCAGUUGGGAAGAAAAAAAUGACGGUACCAACAGAAGAAGUGACGGCUAAAUACGUG